GUUUGAGACCCCUGACUUAUACUAAAAUUGAAGCGAUACAGAGAAGAUUAGCAUGGCCCCUGAGCAAGGAUGACAGAAUUCUCUUAAAAUGUAUAUUUUGUGUGU